AGUAACACGUAGGUAACCUGCCCAUGAGCCCGGGAUAACUUCUGGAAACGGAUGCUAAAACCGGAUAGGUAGCAGACAAGCAUUUGACUGCUAUUAAAGUGGCCAAGGCCAUGAACAUGGAUGGACCUGCGGUGCAUUAGCUAGUUGGUGAGGUAACGGCCCACCAAGGCGACGAUGCAUAGCCGGCCUGAGAGGGCGGACGGCCACAUUGGGACUGAGACACGGCCCAAACUCCUACGGGAGGCAGCAUG
rnacentral:rRNA from 1 species